GCUUGACCAUUAUGCCAUCAUCAAGUUUCCCCUAACCACUGAGUCUGCCAUGAAGAAAAUAGAAGACAACAACACACUCGUGUUCAUCGUGGAUGUUAAAGCCAACAAGCACCAGAUAAAACAGGCUGUGAAGAAGCUCUAUGACAUUGAUGUUGCCAGGGUCAACACCCUGAUUAGGCCUGAUGGAGAGAAGAAGGCAUAUGUUCGACUGGCUCCUGAUUAUGAUGCUUUGGAUGUUGCCAACAAAAUUGGGAUCAUUUAAACAGAGUCCAGCUGGCUAAUUCUAAAUAUAUAUCUUCUCACCAUAAAUAAAUAAA